UCUCCCAGUUUUCCCAACACCAGCGGCUCCAAACUACACCAUGUAGUCCCUAAGCAGUGCACAGCAAAAUCGGUCAAACCAGUGCCAGGCCCUGCCUUCUCACCUCAGCUUUAAGAUGCCCUCACAGGGACUGUCAAAAUUUGUGUCUCUUGAGAAAAUGGCUGCACCAAGGCCUCUCAUCAGGCUGAAGACAUCACAGUCCAGGGUGGCUCAUCUGCUUUUUUCUGAAGCAGGAGCUGCCCCCCAGGAGCUGUCCAUUGUGGGGGCAACUCCUCUCCUGCCUCACCCAGCAACUCCACAGAGAUGGCACCACAGCAAAGCUGCCUGCGCCCAGGAAGGACUUCUUAUCCUAACCCCUGGGCCCAGUUCUGAGAAAGGUAGUGCAUCUGAAAAAAGAAAAAAAAAAAACCCUACCAAUCCCAGAACAAAUAAAAAAAACAAAAGAAA
rnacentral:lncRNA from 1 species